GCCGGCUCUCUCUCUCGCUCGUCGUCUUUUCUUAUCUCUCCAUUUUUCUAUUUAUAUCCGUUUUUCACUCUCAGUCAACAAUCACAGCUCACACCACGCAAAUCUCUCUCGCUUUGAGCUCUAGGGUUUCUUCACAUUCUUCCUUUGAUACCGCGAGAUGUCGAAGCCUGGAGCAUUGGAUCUUGCUUCUGGUCUCGGUGGAAAGCUAGAGAAACACGAAGUUCUUUCCGCUGUCGAGAAGUAUGAGAAGUAUCAUGUCUGUUAUGGAGGUGAAGAGGGAGAGAGGAAAGCUAACUACAGUGACAUGGUUAACAAAUAUUAUGACCUUGUCACCAGUUUCUAUGAGUUUGGCUGGGGAGAGUCCUUCCAUUUUGCACCCAGAUGGAAAGGCGAGUCUCUUCGCGAGAGCAUUAAGAGGCAUGAGCACUUCCUUGCUUUACAACUAGGCCUGAAACCUGGAUUAAAGGUGCUGGAUGUAGGAUGUGGAAUAGGUGGGCCACUUAGAGAAAUUGCUCGAUUUAGCUCCACUUCAAUUACGGGCCUGAACAACAAUGAGUACCAGAUAACAAGAGGAAAGGAACUGAACCGCAUUGCAGGAUUGGACAGGACCUGCGACUUUGUGAAGGCUGACUUCAUGAAAAUGCCAUUUUCUGACAACACAUUUGAUGCAGUAUAUGCAAUUGAAGCUACUUGCCAUGCACCCGAUGCACUCGGAUGCUAUAAAGAAAUCUACAGAGUAUUGAAGCCUGGCCAAUGUUUUGCUGCAUAUGAGUGGUGCAUGACCGACUCCUUUGAUCCUGACAACCAAGAACAUCAAAAAAUUAAGGCAGAAAUUGAGAUUGGUGAUGGCCUCCCAGACAUAAGGUUAACGGGAAAAUGCCUUGAAGCUUUGAAACAAGCAGGUUUUGAGGUUAUAUGGGCCAAAGAUCUUGCUGUGGGCUCGCCUCUCCCUUGGUACUUGCCCUUGGAUAAAACUCAUUUUUCACUUAGUAGCUUCCGCCUAACAGCCAUUGGACGCUACAUUACUAAAAACAUGGUCAUGGCCCUAGAAGCUGUAGGACUUGCGCCAAAGGGAAGUCAAAGAGUCCAAGCUUUUCUAGAGAAAGCUGCAGAAGGUUUAGUUGCAGGUGGAAGGUGAGAGUUUUCUUUUCUUGUGUAUGUUCCUAGAUUGUCUUGUUUCUAAGCCUUGGAAAUGAAACCGGGUUCCUUGGAGUAUUAGAAGUAGGCAAGUGGCAAAGUGCAUUAACACGAAUUCUACCAUUUAGCCUUAAUGCCUCCCUGUGGCUAAUGAAAAUAAGCUUUUGAAAAGGAUUUGAUGGAAAGUAGCCGACUUAGGUGGUUAUAAAAUUUGUUCUCUUCCUUACCCCUGGUUGGGAAAAAAAGUUUUUGAAAUGAAAAAAUUAAUCCAGUGUCAAAAAAAAAAAAAAAAAAACUUUUAAUUGAACAGCCUCCUAGGACUUUUCUAGCCAAGAUUUGCAGCGACUUAUUUACUUGAACUCAUUUGUUAUUAAGGAAUUUAUAUCCUUCCUAAGUGGACUAUCCAAUGAUUUGAUUUUUAGGUGUUGAGAAUUCCACUUGUGAGCUUGUCCCACAUUGAAAAAUUUGAGUGGAUGAUGGAUGCUUAUAGACAUGGUUGGACUCAAGACACAAUAGGCUUAGGCUUUUGGGUCAAGUUAGUGUUCACCCAUGUGUAUCAAGUCCAUCUAUAGGCUCCUUUGGUCCUAACAAGUCGUAUUAGAGUCUGAUUUGAAGCAGAAACGCCAGAUUGGAGAAAUUCACCGAAAACAGAUUCCUGUCCAGUGUCUCGAAAUUGAGUUUUAAGGCCACUAGCACAUUCAUCUCAUCGAAACGAAGCCAACAAUGCAAAUUGGAGCUUGAAAGGAGCCCAGACGGCACCACACGUGCCAUGCCGAAAUCGUCCAUGUCUUCACGUGCCUUCACGCGCUGGCGACUUGUCGGCCACGCACCCACACGCGCUCCAUGCGUCUUCCUCACUCGGCCGCUUCGAUCUGGCCCUGUAACCCGCUCCAGACUUGGACCGUACCUGACCUAGAUCCAUAUCGGUUCAUCCAGACCCGACCAACCAACACGUGACAUCCCCGUCAGUUACCACGUGGCAGCCGCAGCAACUGACACGUCAGUGCUGCCAUGUCAUCCAGUGGGACCCACAAAAUAUGUAGUAGUGGGCUCCACAGUACCACGUCAGCAGUGGAAACCGUGUCACCUCAACGUCACGUCAGUAGUGGACCCCACACCCUGGCACGUCAGCAAACGGCGUCUAUUAAUGAUGUCAGUGACGCCAUUAAGGAUACUCCAUUAGUCAGAGGAAUAUUCCGUUAUAGUUCACAUGAUUUGACCAGGUUUGACCAGAUCUUUGACUGGAUUUUUUGGAGCCAUUUUGGGUCCGUUUUUCGAAUGACUUGAACCAUUUCUAAGGUUUUCGGCCGUUUUGGAUCCAACUGUGCUGUCCAUUUGAGUUGAUUCUGUGUCUUGAUUAGCAAAUCGAGAUGUCGAAUGAAAAGAGCUUAAAGAUCGAGAUGUUUAACCGCAAUAAUUUUGAUUUUUGGAAGAUGCAGAUUUAAGAUUACUUGUUUGGUAAGGAGUUGCACUUACCAUUGAAGGAAAAGUCAGGAUUUAUAAAUGAGGACGAGUGAGAGUUGCUUGACCGGAAAGUUCUCGGAGCUAUCAGAAUGACGUUGUCAAAGUCUAUGACAUUUAAUAUCAAGCACAUAUCAUCUACCAAGUUUCUAAUGGGUGCACUUUUUAACAUGUAUGAGUAGCCGUCAGCCGCUAAUAAGGUAUAUCUUAUGAAAAAAAGAUUAUUUACUAUGACCAUGUUUGUAGGUGAAAGUUUUAGCAAACAUUUGAAUAGUUUCAAUGAGUUGUCGGAUUAACUUGCUUCAGUUGGGAUUACAUUUGAUAGUGAGAUUUAUGCCCUAUUGAUUCUCAGUUAGUUGCUCGAAAGUUGGAAUGGUAUUGUUACUGCAAUCAGUAGUUCUGCAAGGAAAUCAAAGGUAGUGUUUGAUGAGGUUGUCAGCAUGAUUUUGACGGAAGAAAUUAGAAUGCAGUCAAACCAUGGUUACACUUCGAGUUCAGCCUUGAACAUGGAAAGUCGAGAUAGAGGAAGCAGGCAUGGACGAUCAAACAAUCACAGUAGAUCUGGUCCAGGCGGUCCAGAUCCAGAAAACCCAGAGGUUCUCGGGACACAAGUUCCCAGGGCAUAAAGAAUAUUGAGUGCUGGAACUGUGAAAAAACUGGUCAUUACAGAAACCAGUGGAAAGGUUCAAAGAAAGAAUAUGAGAUGAAGGUGAAAACAGAAGCAAAUGUUGUUUCAGAAAAUGAUGAUAUGUUGAUCUACUCUUUGGAGAGCAAAAAAGAGUCUUGUGUGUUAGACUCUGGAGCUUCAUUUCAUGCUACUUGCAGUAGAGAUUGCCUAGAGGAGUAUAUACCAGGUGACUUCGAUAAAGUAUACCUUGGCAAUGAUCAACCUUGCGACAUUGCCGGUAAGAGGACAAUGAAUAUCAAGAUGAACGGGUCAGUAUGGAAGUUAAGAGAUGUCAGAUAUAUUCCAUACCUAGGGAAGAACUUGAUCUCAGUUGGUCAACUGGCAGAUGAAGGAUAUAACACAACUUUCAUUGUUGAUGAAUGGAAGAUUUUGAAGGGUGCACUGACGAUUGCACGAGGUAAAAAAAGUGAAACUCUUUAUGUAACCCCUAAUGUAUGCAUGUCUAUUACAGUUGCUACAGGAAAUGAUGAUAGCAACAUUUGACGUCAACGACUCAGACACCUGAGUGAGAAAGGACUCAGGGUGAUGCACUCAAAAGGAAAGUUGAGUGAUUUACAGUCAGUGAAGAUUGACAAAUGUGAGGAUUGCAUACGUGGGAAACAGAAGAGGGUCAGUUUCCAAAUGAACACCAGUACCCCAAAGAAGGAGAGACUUGAGCUAGUCCAUUCAGAUGUAUGAGGACCAACGACCAUUUCAUCCACAACUGGGAAGCAUUAUUUUGUAACAUUUAUUGACUAUCAUUCUCAGAAGGUAUGAGUUUACUUCCUGAAAAACAAAUAUGAUGUCUUUGAUGCUUUUAAAAUUUGGAAAACAAUGGUUGAAAAUGAAACUGGUUUGAAAAUUAAGAAGCUGAGAACUGGUAACGGUGAUGAGUAUGAUGACACCGGGUUCAAGAAAUUCUGCUAUGAGCAUGGUAUCAGAAUGGAAAGAACUGUGCCAGGUAUGCCUUAGCACAACGGUGUAGCCGAACGGAUGAACAGAGUGUUGACAGAAAAAGCCAGAAUCAUGCGUAUGCAGUCAGCUUACCAAAGAUGUUUUGGGCAGAAACAAUCAACACUGCAGUUUACUUGAUUAACAGGAUUAGUACCAUUGGACUAUAGACUACCAAAAGAAGUAUGGAGCGGUAAAGAGGUAAGACUUUCACAUUUGAGAGUUUUUGGUUGUGUUGUAUAUGUACAUAUCAAUGAUUAUGUCAGGAAUAAGCUUGAUCCAAAAUCUCGGAAAAUGCACCUUUAUCGGUUAUGGUGGAGAUGAAUAUGAGUAUCGCAUUUGGGAUGAUGAAAAUAAAAAUGUGAUUAGAAGCAGAAAUGUGAUUUUUGAUGAAAAAGUAAUGUACAAAGAUAGACACAUAACAGAACCUACAGAGUUUGAAACAACUUAUGUAGAUGUGGAUGAUGUCCUAGAAGGUGUAAGGACGCGUUAACGGAAUACCGAGAAUCCUCAGCAGAAUACCGAGAAUGCUUAGGCAGAGGAACCUAUGGAGCAGAUUAUUGCACCACUGCCUCAUACUCCAGUUCCAGAGCUUAGGAGAUCUUCUUGAUAGCAUGUACCAAAUAGGAGGUAUGUGAAUCAUUUAUUUCUUAUAGAUGAAGGAGAACCUGAAUGUUAUGUUGAAGCAUGUCAGACAGGAGAUUCAAGCAAGUGAGAGCAUGCAAUGAAAACGAGAUGAAGUCUCUUACCUUCAACAAAACAUGGGAACUAGUUAAGUUGCCCAAAGGUAAGAAGGCUCUUCACCUUCACAACAAAUGGGUGUACAAGAUCAAAGAAGAGCAUGAUGGAUCCAAGAGGUAUAAAGUCCGAUUAAUAGUCAAAUGUUUCGAGCAGAAGGAAGGAAUUGACUACACUGAUAUUUUUGCACCAGUUGUGAAGCUGACAACCAUCAGAUCUGUCUUGAGUAUUGUUGCCUCAUAGAGCUUACAUCUUGAGCAGUUGGACGUGAAGACGACAUUUCUUCACGGUGACCUUGAUGAGGAAAUUUAUAUGCAACAGCCAAAAGGUUACUCAGUUAAAGGUAAAGAGAAUUUUGUGUGCAGAUUGAAGAAGAGCUUGUAUAGUCUCAAACAAACUCUUAAGCAAUGGUACAAGAAAUUUGACAGCUGUAUGCAGAGGAAAAAUUUUCAGAAGUGUAAUGCCGACCAUUGUUGCUACUUUAAGAGGUAUUGUACUAGCUAUAUUAUUCUAUUGUUAUAUGUUGAUGAUAUGCUAGUCGCAGGAUCAGAUAUAGAAGAGAUCAGAAAAUUGAAAUAAGUUUGACAUGAAAGACUUGGGUCCUGCAAAGCAGAUUUUUGGGAUACGGAUCUCUAGAGAUAAGCAACAAGGUCACUUUUGUCUCUCUAAGGAUUAGUCUCCCCAGACAUAUGAAGAAAAAGAUUUUAUGGCUAAGGUACCAUGCGCCUCAGCCGUUGGAAGUCUCAUGUAUGCUAUGGUUGGUACUAGACUUGAUAUUAGCCAAGCAUAGGAGUUGUGAGUAGGUAUAUGUCAAAUCCAGGGAAGAUUCACGGGAAAGCAGUGAAGUGGAUUUUGAGACAUCUACAUGACACUAUUGAUAAGUGCCUAUGUUUCGGCAAAAGAGACUUGAAAAUUCAAGGGUAUGUAGAUGCUGAUUUUGUAACUGAAAUUGAUCAUCGUGGAAGCAACACCGGAUAUAUAUUUAUUGUUGGCACAACAACUGUUAGUUGGAUGUCACAGAUACAAAAGAUUGUUGUUAAUCCACUAUAGAAGCUGAGUACGUAGUAAUGACAGAAGUAAAUAAAGAGAUGAUUUGGCUUCAAGGUUUGUUAACGGAGCUUGGAAUAAAGUAGGAAAGAAAUGUUUUGUACAGCGACAGUCAGAGCGCGAUGCAUCUGGCAAAGAACUCUGCAUUCAUUCCAGAACCAAACACAUUGGAUUACGUUAUCAAUUCGUCAGAUCUCUGUUAGAGGACGGCGUGUUGACACUUGAAAAAAUUUAAAGUAGCAG